UACAGAGGUGGCAAGCGUUGUUCGGAAUUACUGGGCGUAAAGGGCGCGUAGGCGGUUUCGCAAGUCCCGUAUGAAAUCCCCCGGCUCAACUGGGGAACUGCACGGGAAACUGCGAGGCUUGAGUUCGGGAGAGGGAAGCGGAAUUCCGGGUGUAGCGGUGAAAUGCGUAGAUAUCCGGAGGAACACCGGUGGCGAAGGCGGCUUCCUGGACCGACACUGACGCUGAGGCGCGAAAGCCAGGGGAGCAAACGGG
rnacentral:rRNA from 1 species